rnacentral:rRNA from 1 species
AGAGAAUAGAUACCCUGGUAGUCCACGCCGUAAACGAUGGGCACUAGGUGCUGGGGGGAGCGACCCCUUCAGUGCCGCAGCUAACGCGUUAAGUGCCCCGCCUGGGGAGUACGGCCGCAAGGCUGAAACUCAAAGGAAUUGACGGGGGCCCGCACAAGCGGUGGAGCAUGUGGUUUAAUUCGACGCAACGCGCAGAACCUUACCAGGGUUUGACAUCCUGCGACCGCUCCGUAAUGGGAGUUUUCCCGCAAGGGACGCAGAGACAGGUGCUGCAUGGCUGUCGUCAGCUCGUGUCGUGAGAUGUUGGGUUAAGUCCCGCAACGAGCGCAACCCUCGCCUUUAGUUGCCAUCAUUCAGUUGGGCACUCUAGAGGGACCGCCGGCGACAAGCCGGAGGAAGGUGGGGAUGACGUCAAGUCCUCAUGGCCCUUACACCCUGGGCUACACACGUGCUACAAUGGCGGUGACAGUGGGCAGCUACUUCGCGAGAAGCGGCUAAUCCCAAAAACCGGUCCCAGUUCAGAUUGCACUCUGC